rnacentral:rRNA from 1 species
GACGAACGCUGGCGGCGUGCCUAAUACAUGCAAGUUGAGCGCUGAAGGUUGGUACUUGUACCAACUGGAUGAGCAGCGAACGGGUGAGUAACGCGUGGGGAAUCUGCCUUUGAGCGGGGGACAACAUUUGGAAACGAAUGCUAAUACCGCAUAAAAACUUUAAACACAAGUUUUAAGUUUGAAAGAUGCAAUUGCAUCACUCAAAGAUGAUCCCGCGUUGUAUUAGCUAGUUGGUGAGGUAAAGGCUCACCAAGGCGAUGAUACAUAGCCGACCUGAGAGGGUGAUCGGCCACAUUGGGACUGAGACACGGCCCAAACUCCUACGGGAGGCAGCAGUAGGGAAUCUUCGGCAAUAGACGAAAGUCUGACCGAGCAACGCCGCGUGAGUGAAGAAGGUUUCCGGAUCGUAAAACUCUGUUGGUAGAGAAGAACGUUGGUGAGAGUGGAAAGCUCAUCAAGUGACGGUAACUACCCAGAAAGGGACGGCUAACUACGUG